UUAAAAUUCAAUAUAAUUGUGGUCAAAUAAUGCAGAUUAUGAAAUGUGCAUGUGAGAGUCCUAGCUCAAGGAGAAGUCGUGCCUCAGUCACUGCCACUCGUCCACCCAUCCAUCCUCCUAUCCGCUCAUUUAUCCAUCCAUCCACCUAUCCAUCCAUCCAUCCAUCCAUCCAUCCAUCCAUCCAUCCUCCUAUCCUCUCAUUUAUCCAUCCAUCCACCUAUCCACCCAUCCAUCCAUCCUCCUAUCCUCUCAUUUAUCCAUCCAUCCACCUAUCCAUUCCUCCAUCCAUCCUCCUCUCAUUUAUCCAUCCAUCCACCUAUCCAUCCAUCCAUCCAUCCAUCCAUCCAUCCAUCCAUCCAUCCAUCCUCCUGUCCUCUCAUUUAUCCAUCCAUCCACCUAUCCACCCAUCCAUCCAUCCUCCUAUCCUCUCAUUUAUCCAUCCAUCCACCUAGUCACCCAUCCAUCCAUCCUCUUAUCCUCUCAUUUAUCCAUCCAUCCACCUAUCCGUCCAUCCAUCCUCCUAUCCUCUCAUUUAUCCAUCCAUCCACCUAUCAAUCCAUCCAUCCAUCCACCUAUCAAUCCAUCCAUCCAUCCUCCUAUCCUCUCAUUUAUCCAUCGAUCCACCUAUCCACCUAUCCAUCCAUCCUCCUAUCCUCUCAUUUAUCCAUCCAUCCACCUAUCCAUCCAUCCAUCCAUCCAUCUAUGUGUCUAUCCAACAAAUAGUUACUCAGCACCUACUGUGUACCCAGCAGUAUUUUAGGAGCUGAGGUCACACGUCACACAACUGAGUAAAAGAGAUAAAAAAAGUCCCUGCUGUAUUGGAGCUCACACCCUGGGCCAACUUCUGUCUUUGAGCCUCUUCCAGAUGAGGCUGAUGCCAAUGGGAAACUUUCCUCCAAGGGAAGGUGUGCACUUAGUCCCUACACUUUCUCCAAGUGGUUAGUAUUUGGUAAGUUCAUAAGUUAGGAAACCUUUAUGGUGGUCCCACACUCCUGGGCAUACAUCAGGAGAGUACAGUUUUCAUAACAUGCGUGACUAAUCUUUUGCAUUUCUUUUUCUUGAAAUCAAGAAUAUGAAGGCAAUUAAAGAACAAAAACCAUAGCAUGCCCCAAAUUACGAAAAGAACUGGCAUUUGCAAAGAAUAACAUCCUCACUCAGGCCUCAUGUUGUAAGUGAGGAAACUACGAAUCAAAGACAACAAGCAGCCCUCUGCUUAGCUCAGCUCCCAGGAACCAUUCUCUUCCCAGAGCACAUGUUCUGGAGGGGCCUGGUUUUCCAUCUUCUCUGGAGAUCCUCUGAUGAAAGCAUAACCAGAGGGAGGCUUACCCUCUACUUGCUCACCUUCUCCCCUGCUGAGAUGGCCUUUGGAGGCUCUUCCAGUUAAUUUGCCUUACGCGGCACUGCAUCAUGUUUCUAGUUAACUGCAAAGCAAAUAGUCCAUGGCCUAGAGGAGGCCUGCACCCUGGAACAAUUGUUGGAAUACGCUGGCCAUUUAAUAUGUCAAGAGUGAAGGAGAAAUAUUCCUUGUGUGGCUUUGGUGAUAAAGUGUGAAAAGGACUGCAAAGCCCGUGUGUCACCGAGGAGAGGGUCAGAAGAAUGUUGUUGGCAGGGCAGAGGCCACUUCUAGAUGCUGGUGUGAUGGAGAAAAUGUAAUCAACCAUAAGGCCCUUGGGGAAAGUAUUGUAUUUGUUUGGAAGAAAUAUUUUAGUAUAAGACUCCCGUGAACAUGCUCAAAGACAAAGGAUAGUUUCUCAAUAGUCUUCUAAGGGUAGGAAUGAUUGAUGAGAGGGGAUUUUGAUUUGUUGAGCACUUAGGUAAGUUUUAGUAUACACAUUUGGGGACAGAAGCCAGGGCAGAAAUAAACUGCUCAGCAUAAAAUGGGAAAGAGGUGACAAGGAGGCUAAUUCUGGGAAGAGAGGAGCCACCUCCUUGCUGGUAUGGACAAUUUGUAGGUAUUGGGCGUUGAGCAUCACACACAAUCCCCUUUCUCUGGCUUUGUAAUUGCCUGAUGUGUUCUUCCUGUCUGCUGCACAAACAAAGACCACAGCAUAGCAAUAAAGAAAG
rnacentral:lncRNA from 1 species